UACCCUUGACUUGUAGCGAACCUCGCAGAGAUGUGAGGGUGCCCGAAAGGGAACGCUAACACAGGUGCUGCAUGGCUGUCGUCAGCUCGUGUCGUGAGAUGUUGGGUUAAGUCCCGCAACGAGCGCAACCCUUGUCAUUAGUUGCUACAUUUAGUUGGGCACUCUAAUGAGACUGCCGGUGACAAACCGGAGGAAGGUGGGGAUGACGUAGCUAAGCCUUC
rnacentral:misc_RNA from 1 species